GCAGAGAAGUCACUAGUUUGAGCACAGGAAAUCAAUGAAGCAGAAGGAAAGUGGACUCUGGAGAGUCUCAUCUUGUAAUGUCUGCUGGAUCACAUCACUUCUGGUUACAUCUGACUGUCUGGAACUGGUCACAUGACUCUACUGCCCACAAGGUGGCCAGGAAGUACAUUCCUGCCAUGAAUCCAGAAGGUGGAGAGCUGGAGAUAUCUGAACGGGACCUCCCAUGGACAGCGAUUGCCUCCUCUUCGCCUCCAUACAUCUGAGUCUUGUGUGGCACUUGUCACAUGGAAACCAUGGCAGCUGAAUUACAACAUGUCUUUGUGGACAAAUUUCUACUCUCUCUUCUUGAAUGAGAUGUCCACCUUCUCCGGCCCUUGGCCAGUGUUGAUCCUGAUUCUCAGGCCCUUGGAUUUGGACUGAAUUACACCACUGGCUUUCCCAAGUUUCCAGUUUGUAGAGGGCAGAUUGUGGGACAUCUUGGCUUUCACAACUGUGUGAACCAAUUAAU